UCGUAGAUCUCGAUGUUCCCGAAGGUGUAGGGGAGGCUCAUGUUCACCACGGUGACGGUGGUGUUGUCGGGACCGAUAAAGGUCUCGUGGAAGUAGACGCGGAAGUGGAUUCUCUUCUGGAUGCCGAGUUCGAACUCGGAGGUGACCGGGAAGGCCGUGGCAGCAGCCAGGAGGAGGAAGAAGACGAGGAGGUGGUGGAAAAGAGAGGAGCUGUGUGGGGACGACGCCAUGACUAGGGUGGUGGAUGGACAAGGAACGUGAAGUGAGAAGUGAGAUGAGCACAACAAUAAGAGGGAAAGUGUCUUUAUAGAGCAUUGGCUUAUGGCUCUGUCAUCAUCAUACAUAUCAUAUUUAUCACAGGUAAGUAUGAUGUACACAUCAUCAUAUUAAUAUUUAAGAGAUUAAAAUUAAAUAAUAUUUUGAAUCCUUAAUAUUCGAUAAAUAAGUCUUUUAGAUGUAAGAAUAUCUCAAAUAAAUUUUUGAAUAAUCAACCUUUGAUAAGUGGAUCAUCAUUAUAUUUAUACACGGAAAUGAAUCAUUUACAAUUAAUUAGACUUUGACAUGUUAAACUCAAUCAAUUCAUGAACUAUUAUUGAAAAUAUUUAUGGGUAUACGAUUAGAAAAAUAAGCUUAUAUGACUAAGGAUUGAAAGAAUCAGAUAACAUAAUAGUUUAAGUCUUUGGAUUGAAUUAAUAUCUUACUUGAUAUAUAUAUUAACUCUGAUCAAUUUGAUUCAAACUCAUCAAUAGUCAUACAACUAUGACAUGAACAAGCUCUAAAUUGAAGAUUUAUCGGGCAAGCUUAUUGAACUCAUCCAAGAGUCUUAUGGGUGCUAUUCAAAACAAAAUUGGACAAUCGUAUCCUCAUUGAACUUGGAAGAAAUCGACUCGAGCCACGUUAAUUUAGAUAUUGAGGUUGGAUUCCCCUAGUUGGACAUCUUAGUCGAACCUCAAAGUCAAAAGUCAUUCCAUCUUCCAACUAGAGCAACAAGAAUUCGGAAAAAAAUAAUGAACCAAAUCGAGUCAAGUUCGCCGGAUCUAAGUUCGACCGAAUGGUGUAUUUGGAGUCCAUCCUUCCAAUGCGGGGGGAAGAAGAUGGCAUAAAAUGCAAUAAGCGAUGCAUAAUAACACCGGUGGACGCCCGGUGAUUACAGCAUACGGGCUCUCGAUCGGUAGGUGCCUCGCUCUCCGCCUUCAGCAAGCAACGUAGACGUACAGCGACGGCUCUCGGUCGGUAGGUGCCUCGAAUGCAGGUGUCGCUGGGGAGAUGGGUGAUGGAGGUCCAAAAGAUGAGGCCAUUGACAUGAUCGAUGUCGACUGUAAUCUUCUCAUCUUAGGACAAGAUCUUCCACCUCACGGUCUCGUACGUUGCAUGGUGGGUGAACGAGGAGGAAGCCAUCGAUCGGGCGUUGGUUUCCUCCGUACACUUAUCUUUUCUCCAUGCUGUAGCUGUCGGUGAUCACAUUUGUUGCAUGUGAUACACGUUUUCUUUUUUUUUUUUCACCUUUGUCGUGUACUCUAAUUCUGAAAGAACCAUCACUUUCUGAUCACUGUACAUGACUGUGAUUCUUGCACAGUCAUUGAUCUAUUUCUUCUAAUAAUUGACUAUGAUUCUUGCACAAGAGAACUCGUAAAGCAUGAAAAUUUGAUAUUAUUAAUUAAUUUUAAUAAUAAUUUUAUUUUUAAAGUAAACAAAUAAAUUAAAAGAAAAUGGAGAAUUGCAUAUUCUCCACUCUGUUGAUACCCCUAUUUACUUGAGAGGAGACCAAUGUAGUUUCUACAAUCAAGUCAAACUAGAGUCUAAAUCAAAACUAUGUAGACCUCCCUUCCAUCCCUCUAGCUAGGUCUCAUUCGGUGCCAACCGACACCAUCGAAACUUUAGCUCAGUUUGCUUAAAUGUUCAGCUAGUAAACAUACAAACAUAUCACUUUCCAUCAAUAUAAAAGUACAUAUAUAUAUUACAAUAAUAUGUGAUAUGAUAGUACACACAUAUGUUAUGAUAUAAGGCGUAGAAGAUCAUACAUUUUUUAGGCUUCCUACAUGUGCAUAUAAGUAUUUGAAUUAUUUCGAUAUAAAAUUUUACCAUCUUAUUGUAUAUAUAAUGUGUUGUAGGAUUAUUUAUACAUGCUAAAGAAUUUAUAGGAUGAUGUGUCUAUCAUUAAAUACUUUAUGUUAAGGAUUUUAAAAUAUUAUAUACAUGAAAUGAUGUGCUCACAUAAAUAAAACAAUAAAGACUUAUAUUUACUGAGUGAUUAAUCACCGUAGAUCAUAUUUUACAGAUAAAAAUAUUAGUAUCCCACUCAAGUGAUUGUAUAGGGAAGUAAGCACAUGUAAGCCCAUGCUAGCAUAGAUAUGAACGAUGAUUUUUCAACAUUUUAUGUAUAUAAAUUUUGGACAUAUUAUAUUUAUGUUUUUAUUUGGUUAAAUGAUAUAAUCAUGUAUUUAAAACAUUAUGGAUAGGGGAAACCCUAUUAUUUUGUUUAGUAAGUUAGCAUGUUUUAAUUUUAGGAUUGUCAACUUUCCAUUGUAGUCAUAUUGAUAUCAGUAAUUAAAAUUUAAAAUGUAACAUCCUAUAUUAAUUAUACAUGUAAGAUAUGGAAGAAACUAGAAGUAGAGUAUUACAUAUUCAAUGUUCUUGAUAUCGAAUCCAUCUAUGAUAGACUCGGUGAAAGGCUACAGUUACAUCCAAGUCAUCCUUUAAAGAAUCAAAAUAUAUAUUAACAAUUAUGAAAUGUGAAAGAUUUUUUAACUAAUAAAUUAACUAGAAAAAUUGAAUGAACGAAUGAAUGCCAUGUUUAUGGGAGGAAUAGGUACAUGUCAUUUUGUCAAGGCACGUGAUUUAUUUGGAAUUUAAUGUAACUUAUUCGCAUUAUGUUGAUUAUAGUUUGCGACAAAUGUAAAGAUUCCAUAUCAAAAAAUAAAUUCCGAUGUGCAUGUGUUAGAUCCCUUAUGAAACUUAAUUAUUUAUAGAGUGACUUUAACAUAUAGUAAAUAAGUUUGUAUCUAUGUAACUUGGAUGAUCAUAUUGUGAAAUAUACAAAUAAUAUCUCAAGUUAUUCCUUCUCCGUAGUAGCUAAAUUUCAACUACAUUUGGUGUCGAAAGAUUAGAGAUCCAUGACAAAGUAUGAUGUUGUAAUUACAUAUUAAUUGCGUGAUAGAAAAAGGUGAAACAUCGUUUGUGUGUUCUCAUAUUGCUUCCUUGUCCGAUAAUUUAAUCGCAUUAAAUUAUAAGCGACAUUGAUAGGUUGAUGUUCACAAAAACACACAACACUAACAUUAUGACCCAUCGACCAUUUUGUACCCACUUGAUUCAGUUUUUAGAAUUAUAUUUGUCUGUUUCCAAAAAAAAAUAUUUCUUUAUGUAGUACGAAGUAUUUUUUUGAAUUAUAGUAUAUUAUAGUGAAAUUUUUGACAGAUAAGCUCACUCUACAGGAGAUGAGAUUUUUACCUCAUAACACUCAUCGCUUAAUUCUUUCCAAGUAAUUAGAUCCUUUUCAUCAAAGCAUUCAUAAUCUUUUAUAUAUAUAUAUAUAUAUUAUUGAAUUGAGCUGUACAAUAUUAUUUUAGUUGAUCUUAUUAACAACUUUAUAGUGUGGUCCGAUGCAUAAUACUGCUACUAAUCCUAAAUAGGAGAAGAAUAAAUUUACUAUAGUCAUAUAUACCUACAGCUAUGAAAAAUAAAGCAUGUCACCGUACUGUGCUGCAAAAUAUCGAGGUUUGUAAAAGCUUUUCUUUCUCAAUAAUAAGAAGCUUUUCUUUAUUUUAAGAUAAAGAUGGAAGUACAAAGUGACACGUAGAAUAGCAUUUAUUUCAGCCUUUUGUUUUGUCCUUAUUCCAACCGCUGUCUUCAUGGAGUGACACCAUAGCCGGAGUUCUUUUUGUCGUGUAUUAAGCGUCGGUGACGGCAAGGUCUCGCAAUCAUGGGCUGGCACUGCGACCGACGUCGGUGUAGUAGAUGACGUAGACGUCGAAGGCGGCGACGAGGCCCUCGACGGAGGACGUCACCAGCUCGCUCGCCAGCUUUCCCCAUGCGUACUGGAACACCCCCGUUCCACCCACGAUGGCCCGCUCCGCUUUCCCGGACGCGUCCAGUCUACCGAUCGCCGUGAGUGUGCUGUCGGCGAACUCCCCCGCCGUGAACACCAGUACCAGCGGUAUCAGAGACGCCUCCUCCUGCUGCGACAUGUGGAAGCCCGCGCCCUGCGCCCUUCCGACGACCGUCGAGCUAGCGUCGGAGCCGACCCUCAGCACGGCGUCGAAGAUGUCGAUGUCCCCGAAGGUGUAGGGGAGGCUCAUGUUCACCACGGUGACGGUGGUGUUGUCGGGGCCGAGAAAGGUCUCGUGGAAGUAGACGCGGAAGUGGAUUCUCUUCUGGAUGCCGAGUUCGAACUCGGAGGUGACGGGGAAGGCCGUGGCAGCAGCGAAGAGGAGGAAGAAGACGAGGAGGUGGUGGAUAGGAGAGGAGCUGUGUGGGGACGAAGCCAUGACUGGGGUGGUGGAUGGACAAGGAACGUGUUAUACUUGGCAAAGAUUGACAAGUGAGAGGAGCACAAGGCUGGAGGAGGGAGAGCGUAUUUAUAGAGUAUUGGCUAUGUCAUCGUCGUGCAUAUAUCAUAUCUAUCAUAUUAGACGAUAUUUUAGACUCUCUUAAAAAGGUAAGUAUGUAAGCAUCAUCAUAAUAAUAUUUUAGAGAUUAACAUUAGAAAGGAUUUCAAAUCCUCAAUUCAAAGUUGAGUCUUUUAGAUGUAAGAAUACCUCAAACAAAAUUUUUGAAUCAUCAAACAAUAAGUGAAUUUUCAUCAUGUUCAAAGAUUAAAAUGAAUCAUAUACAAUUAAUGAGACUUAGCAUGAUAAAUUUAAGUAAUUAUUAUUGAAAAUAUUUAUGCAUGUGAGAUAAAAAAAGAUGAGCGAAAAGUAAUAUAUGACUAAAGAUUGAAGGAAUCAGAGUACAGAAAGUCGGUUUGACAAGUAACACCACGUUUAGCCUUCCUCUUGAACGCCGGUCUCGUUCCAAAAUCGCCGGACGGACCACUUCGCUCUCCGCCGACAACACGCAACGUGUAGCUUCGCUGGGAUACGGGUGAUGCAGGUCAAAGAAGAUGAAGCCAUCGACAUGAACGAUGUGGACUGUAAUCGUCUCCAUCCUCGUCUUCUCAUCUUAGGACUAUAUCUUCCACCACACCGAAUCAUUCGUUGUAUGGUAGGUGAACAAGGAGGAAAGCCAUCAUCCAUGGGACUGCUUUUGGUUGGUUAAUCCUCACACUAGCUUCUCUCGAUGCUGUACCUGAUGGUGAGGCUUCUUGUGCACGUUUUGUUUCCAAAAAAUCUGUCUAUUUUGUUGAGAAAAUAUUUUCAUCUUAAUCAGUAUAAAUAGGGGGAAAAUAGCUUCAAUGUAAAACAGUUUUUUCAAUAAUUCUUCUUGUCUUCUAUUCUUUCCAACAUGAUAUCAGAGCAAGUGAGAAGAGCGAGACUCCAUGGCCAUCGAAGCCUGUUAUUCACCACAUCUCUUACCUUUGUAGAGCAGAGAAGGGGGUGAACUCUUUUCCAUCGGACUCGCUUCCCUGUCGGACUCCCCUCUCCGUCCGCUGAUACCCCAGUCGCUGUCGUGACCACACCCGGCAUCGCAAUCAUGUGCGACCACAACAACGAGGGCCUGUUUUGGUGCGACUGGCUACUCGCCCUCGGCAGUGGAUCCCUCUCCAACCCUGUCCGCUCCUUCCCUCUUCUCCUCCAUGCGGCUUUCUUCUUCAUCGGCGUCGCCUGCACCGACCCUAAGCUCGGGUUAUCUACCGCCAUAUCAUCAUCUUCAUCAGGUUGUGAUCUAUAUCAAUCGCAGCCUGCUGCCUCGGUGUCAACUGUCGAUCCUUAGCUCCUACUAAGAGCUAAUCGCUACAGCUUCCUCCUACUGCAGCUUCCUCAUGUUGCAGCAUCGUUGUAGCUUCCUCCUCUGUUGCAGCAUCGUUGCGGCUUCCUCCUCUGUUGUAGUUUCUGCUGUAGCUUUCUCCUAUGCUGGAGCAUUGCUGCAACUACCUCCUUUGCUCCGACUUCCUCCUUUAUUACAUCUAUGCUGCAGCUACCUCUUCUACUAUAGCUUCCUCCUCUAUUGUAGCAUUACUACAGCAUCGCUGCAGCUUUCUCCUAUACUGUAGCUUCCUCCUCUUCUGUAGAAUCACUGCAGAUUCCUCCUCUGCUAUAGCAUCGUUGCAGCUACCUCCUCUUCUGCAUCUACCUCCUCUACUGUAGCAUGAUAGCAGAUAAGAUUUCUCUAACUAUAUGAGAAAAUCUAGAGUUGAGAGAAAUCCUCCCUCUUAAUCUGUAUAAAUAGGGAGAGAAUACCUUCAAUGUAAAAUAGUUUCUUCAAUAAUUCUUCUUGUCUUCUAUUCUUCCCAACAGAUAAAAAGGGAUGUGGACGAGGCCAUCAAAAGGAACACACGUCAUUUAUGAUUACUGCUCGCUGCUCUUUGUUACUCGCCGAUGUCCUCAUCCAUCAGUAUGAACUGGAUGAGAGAAUAAUAUUCAAAAUACUCAGUUAAUAUUUUUCUUACUAACAGGAGUUUCUAUAGCUCAUGAUUCAUAACUUUAUUUUUGUCCCUUGUAUAAGAGCUGAUUUAAGUUUCUGUAUAGUUUUAUCAAUCGUGUUUUUUAUGCUAGUUUUACUUAUGACGCUGAAUGGCUUAUCUUAAUUACUAAUUGAGCAUUCAUCUCAUUAAGCAUUUAAUUAGAUGACACAGGGCACAUGCUCACGGUCACUUAUGGCUCCUCUUGCCAUCCUUCACGUGCAUGAUAUAUAUAUAUAUAUAUAUNNNNNNNNNNNNNNNNNNNNNNNNNNNNNNNNNNNNNNNNNNNNNNNNNNNNNNNNNNNNNNNNNNNNNNNNNNNNNNNNNNNNNNNNNNNNNNNNNNNNNNNNNNNNNNNNNNNNNNNNNNNNNNNNNNNNNNNNNNNNNNNNNNNNNNNNNNNNNNNNNNNNNNNNNNNNNNNNNNNNNNNNNNNNNNNNNNNNNNNNNNNNNNNNNNNNNNNNNNNNNNNNNNNNNNNNNNNNNNNNNNNNNNNNNNNNNNNNNNNNNNNNNNNNNNNNNUUGGACGUCACCAGUUUGCUCACCAUGUUCCCCCACGCGAACUGGAACACCCCAGUCCCUCCCACGAUGGCCCGGUCCGCCUUCCCGGAGGUGUCCAUCCUCCCUAUCAACGUGAGCGUGCUGUCGCAGAAGUCCCCGGCCGUGAACACCAGCACCAGCGGUAUCAGCGACGACUCGUCCCGCUGCGACGCGUGGAAGCUCACGCCCUGCGCCCUCCCGACUUCAGUCGAACGCUUGGAGGGGCCGGUCCUCAGCACGGCGUCGAAGAUGUCGACGUCCCCGAAGGUGUUGGGGAGGCUCAUGUUCACCACGGUGACGGUGGUGUUGUCGGGGCCGAGAAAGGUCUCGUGGAAGUAGACGCGGAAGUGGAUUCUGCUCUGCCGGCCGAGUUCGAACUCGGAGGUUACCGGGAAGGCUGUGGCAGCAGCCAGGAGGAGGAAGAAGACAAGGAGGAAGUAGAGAUGAGAGGAGCUGUGUGGGGAUGAAGCCAUGGCUAGGAUGACCGAAGGAUCGAAUUGAGGUGGGUACAACGCUGGAUCAGGAACAUGUAUUUAUAGAGUAAUGUCUGUGCCAUGCGUCGUCAACAAAAGCCAACUUCCAACCAAAUCUCAUUAUCAUGUCUACAUAAAAAACCCAAACGAAUAUUACUCUUGCAGGCGAAGGUCUCAGCGUAGGGAAGAAGAUAGCAUAUGGUAACACGAUGUACACACCAUAUAGUCUUCUCCAUAUAUAUAUAUAUAUAUAUAUAUAUAUAUAUAUGAUGUCGAGCAAUGGAGAUGGGUAACUGAGAGAUGGAGGGAUGAUAGUUGCAAGCAAUGGGCGAUGAGGAUAGUGUUGCGUCUUCUGCAAGUGCCAACUGGCCACCUGUAGCUCGUCAAUUUGCUUGUUAAUUAACGAACCACAUUGGCAACGCUAUCUUUCUUAAUGUGUUUCACCACAGAUGUACGCGGUUGGCUGAUGGCUGUCGCUCCCGUUUGUUCGCAUCUUCGGUUGUUGACAUGUGGAAAUGAAGUGUCGGUUCCCAUGCGUGAUCGGUACCUCACCACUCCACUUCAAGUCGCGACGUAAUUAAUGACCGACGGUGCGAUGCAAAACCUUCACUCGCCAAUCAAGUCAUUCGUGACUCAUGUGGGGCCAUUAACCAUCUUUUUGCUCUACAGUAAUCAAAGAAAAGCUCACAUGAUGUGUUCUCAUAUCAGCAUACAAAUGAAUUUUAUGUGACUUUUAAUAUACAUACAUAUUCUCUCCUGUCAAAACAUAUCCUAAACUCAUGUUUAUUUUUACCAUUAUAUAUAUCAUCACGAGACCAAAAGACAAAAAGGCAUGGGAUAACAUAACGCAUGUCAAUGUUUCCAUGUGAAUCACGCCUACAGAAUCCUUCACCUACCGAAGGUGUGGUUGGUUGUCAAAGUUCAUCAUUAUUAUGUAAGGGACAUUUUUCUCAGCAUAUCGUCAAAUGCCAGCGCAUGACGUGUUACCUUUCAAAGUGCAUAGUUGACCCAUUCCGCGUGUAAUGUCUCCUACUUAGUUGUCCCUUCACGCAAUGCAUUUCUUUAUCAGUAUACGUAUACUUCACCUGUUCAUAGCAUCCAUAUUAAAGCUUAUGUAGGUGCAGCGAAAUUAGUUAAUCGUCUAUAAAUAGGAUAGAAAUGGAUAACAAGUCUUAUUAAAGCCAUUAAUUAAGAAUUUAGAAUAGAGAUAGUAUCAUAUUUGAUUUCACAUUGAUCAGAGACUUAGAGAAUCAAUACCUAAUACCUAAUAAAGAGUCAAAUACAAAUUUUCGUUUUUUGACAGACAACUUUUGGGAUCCACCUUAGGAAAGGAAAGAUCAUGUGGUCCCGCUUAACAAUUUAUGAUUCAAAAGAGCUCGUGAUUGAAUAGUUUGUGAAAAUAAGAAUAUUAUUUGGAUAAAAAUAAAUAGUAAAAAAAGGAUCAAAUGAUAUAUGGACACGUGGCAUAUUCACCGAUCUUUAAAGCAGCCGAUCGCACGAGUAGUAAGAACUACCAAAGCUCUCUCCACGAUGAGAAAGGGCAACGAAGGCGGGGGAGUGACGAUGUGAAAGAAUCAUAAAGACGAUUGUUAGCAACCCUUGUGGUCGAGGUGCCAGCGUGGUUCGAUCCAAUCCUAAAUGCGCUUGUCCACGUAGAUGCUCGAGUGAUGGAAGUGAGCAUUAUGUCGUGUUGAGUUUGAGCCUCGUCUAUCUCAAUAUAGUUUCUCUCUUGGUGAGUGGCCUGCUUAUUUAUCACCGGACACAGGUUAGGGUCGAGAGGAAGAUUUUUUGAUUUGACCCUUGCGAAAGUUAAAUUAGUGUUGGGUGAAGUAAGAGGGAGUUAAAUGCUCAAAGUUCUUCCCAUGAUGUCAAUUAUUGGGUUGACUUUUAUACAUGCGAACAAAGUUCUUCACUGCUUCAGUAUGAUAUUCGAUUUAUAGAUGAAAGGUUAUGUUUUUCUUCAGCUUCAUGUUGCUCAUGGUCCAAAGUGAACUUGCUAAAAGAAAAAACACUGUCAUGAUUAUGAUGGAAUAAUAUUUCAAACACUUAGAUUUUUAAUAUAAAAUUGUAUGUAUCUAAGAGCUGGUUGGAGAAUUGUAUAAGAUAUGUCUAUAGUUCAACGAGUUCUGAUAUUUUUGGAGUUUGUUGCAAUAGGAUUUUAUUCGUAAUAUUAAUAAACGAGAUCGAAUAAUUCUUUUUAUUUUAGCCUUAUUAUUUAUUCUGCAGACGUAAAGCAAGAUAAACAUUGUUAGCUCUUAUUUAAUUGCUGUAGCUUUCGUUAUCGUGUCUCGGAUCACGCGAUGGAAGUGAGACGGACGUCGUUAUGGUACAUGACGUAGACCACGAAGGCGACGACGAGUCCUGCGACAUCGGACGUCACCUGCUUGCUCACCACGUUCCCCGACGCGAACUGGAACACCCCCGUCCCUCCCACGAUGGCCUGGUCCGCCUUCCCGGACGCGUCCAUCCUUCCGAUCACCGUGAGCGUGCUGUCGCAGAAGUUUCCCGCCGUGAACACCAGCACCAGCGGUAUCAGCGACGACUCGUCCCGCUGCGACACGUGGAAGCUCACGCCCUGCGCCCUUCCGACUUCAGUCGACCACUUGGAGGGGCCGAUCCUCAGCACGGCGUCGAAGAUGUCGACGUCCCCGAAGGUGUAGGGGAGGCUCAUGUUCACCACGGUGACGGUGGUGUUGUCGGGCCCGAGAAAGGUCUCAUGGAAGUAGACGCGGAAGUGGAUUCUCUUCUGGAUGCCGAGUUCGAACUCGGAGGUGACGGGUAAGGCCGUGGCAGCCGCAAGGAGGGGGAAGAGGACGAGGAGUAAGUAGAGAUGAGAGGAGCUGUGUGGGGAUGAAGCCAUGGCUUUGAUGAUGUUGUGGGAAACAACCUGGGAGCAGUGGCCUCGGGGCCGACGCGACUCAGUUCGAGUCCGAACGACGAGGAUCUUUGCUCGAGGUCUCUCGGGAUUGUCGGAGUGACCGACCGUGCGGACCAGACCACCGUUGGGUUCGUCGGGAUGUCUAGGGGGGAAGGCGUCCUCUCCUUGCGCCCCGGGGAAAUAGCUUCAUCUCCUUACCUGCACACAGGUCGGGUCGGAAGCUCGGCCCGACCCCUCCGACGAUCAAGUUAGUGGAUGUGGAGGGGGUUUAAGAAGAAGAAGUAUUUUUUGUGUCCCUCUUUGGUGUGUUCUCCCCUCCCCCCCUCUCCUGAUGAACGAGAGGGUAUUUAUAGGGAGGCUUAUUGUUUCUCGAUGUGUCCGCUUGCAGGGGGCAGGCUGGUUGUGUCUGACAUUGGUUUGGCGUGACGUGAAGAACCGAGCCUGAGUAGGUGUUAAUGCGCCUUGGCCUAUGUUCCGAUCCGUUUGAUCGGGUGUCGUCGCGUCGUCCGAGGCAUGAGGUGUCAUCUGACGUCAGUCAGGUCUUAUUAUAAUUAAUAUCCUCAUCAUGACAAAAUGAUCGAAGUUAGGUGGGCACAACGCUCGAAAAGGACAUGUAUUUAUAGAAGAGGCGUUGCCAAGCGUCGUCAACAAAUGUCAACUUCCAACUACCGCAAUUAUCAUGUCUGCGAAGGAAGAAGAUGGAUGUUUGGCCUUCCCGGUGAAUGCAUCCUUCAACUCAGAGAUGGAAGAUGGUUCCCGAGUGUGAUCGGUGCGUCUCGUGCAUUUAUUAUAGAGGAUCGUCAUAUGCCUUGUUCGCUUUCAAUGUAAAUAAUUGACCCAAUCCGCGCGCAAUCUAAACCACAUAGUGGGCCCAUCACACAAUGCAUUUCUUUCUCAAGAUGUGUUUGCUUCACCUAUUUCAACUGUUUAUGCGGUCCACAUUAAAACUUCUGUCGGUUCUGCAAAAUUGGCUAAUUAUCGCUUCUUAAUGUUGAAAAUUUAUAACAAGUGUGUGUAAGACUCUCGAUUAAAAAUUUUAAACAUAUUUAGUCCCAAAUUGAUUAGAGUCAAUACCUAAUCAAAUACGAAAAGAUCAUCCCUCCACUCCUACUUAACAAUUUAUUAACAUUAAAAGAGUUCAAGAUUAAUAUUUUUUGAUUGACGUAAAUAAUUUGUGAAAAAUAAAGGUAUUAUUUUGAAUAAAAUAAAUAGUAAAAAAAGGAUCAAAUUGAUUAUGGAAACGUCACAUUUUCACGAAUCAUAAAGCAGCAGACUGCAUCAGUAAGUAAUAUAUAAUUUUGGAUAAAAAUAAAUACUAAAAAAGAUGAAGGGGGAAAUGACGAUGUGAAGAAUCCACAGAGGUGGCUCUCCUCUCUGUCCUCUUCGGUAGCAACAAGCACGAUAUGGUGAUCAAGGCCCGAUCUCUUACUAUUCCUUCUCGUCCAAUUUUCCCAAUCUUGGUUAGAGUUUUAAUUUGAUGGAGUGCUUGACGCCGUCUUGUAGUUUUUUGAUGUCAAAUUCUUGGUUCGAUCUACUGUUCGAUCAAAAUCUUUGAUGGUCCUAUAAACUAGUUGCUCUAUGAUCAACAAAAAUAUUAGGGAUAAUCCUAAUAUUUUAGUAUUUGAUAGGGAUAAUCCUAACACUUGCCAGCUCUUUCAUCAUAUAGGUUAAAGAAGCAACACCUAAGCAUCAGCAUGGGAGUCACCUGCUCCCUGCAACCGCUAGCAUAUAAACUCAUCUAGUUUGAGUUGCAUCACGGGAUAAAUCUGAGGAAUCUAUAUAUUAAAAAAAUCCACCCUUUAUAUUGUUAUUGUCAUAUGAUAUUGGGGUAGAAUCUAAUAAAUGACACAGUUACUCUACAUACACACACACUUAUAUAUAGUCUUAUAGAUGUGGACAUGUGACAUCAACUAAAUGAGCAAUCUAAAAACUAAAAUGCAUUUGUACCUAUUAAGUUUUGUUUUCCAACAUAUAACUUAAUUUAAGAGGGCAAUGCACCAGUUAUGAUUCAAGUAUUAUUCAACAACAUUCACUAAAUCACUCGAGGUUUUAAGAGUCAAAUUUAGAUAAGGACCAGGACAAAAUGAAACUCAAUCAUGAAAAUUAAAACUUCUAAAUAGGAAGAAAUACAAUAUCAUUUUGUUCAGAUAAGUACACAACAUUCCCGUAUUAAUCUCUAUAUUGUAGCCUACUAAUUUAAAGGCACUGUAAGAUUACAAUGUAAUCAACCUAAAAAUAGGCCCCUUCCUCAGCGUCACCAAUUGCAUGUAGCCAUCAUCUAAAACGUCGUCUUAUAUGGUUCUGUAAGAAGACUCUUAUAGAAGUUUUUAUGUGCCCACAUAUUAUCAACAUGGGCCGUGCCACAAUGCAGAAAGCCUUACUCAUGCAACAUUAUUAAAUCAUUCAUAUCCAAAGGAAUUCAUGAAUCACAAUAAAUAGCUACUAACCUCCUUGAUAACAACUAACAAUGUAGAGGAGACCUAAAAAGGUCUAAAUUAUAAGACCCAUAAGUUUAAUCGAUGACAACUUGUUUCUUAAGCACCAUCGUGCGAGUCACUUAUUUCCUAAUAAGUGAUGUGAUUUUUAGAAAGUAAAUAAUAUACAAUCCUUUUUCGUGUGUGAAUAAUAACGAAUGAAUAUUAUAUUUCUAUCUUUAUAUGUGAAAAUAAAAUAAAAUUAAAUUUAAAAUAAUAAUUAAAUAUUUACUAAUUUUUAGGGAGAUUUCAUCUUCUUCUAUAUAAACUAGCUCCCCCUUCCUCAUUCCACACCGAGCAAAAUAAAAGUAUUGAAGAAAAGAUAUUUCAAGAAGAUGAUUUUGAGGUGAGGUAAGAUCCUCUAUUCUUUUCUAAUCAAAUUUUAUUCAUAUUUUAAAAUCUUUAAUAUUAAAAGAUUUUCUAUUCUAUUCUAAUCAGUUUUGAUUCAUAUUUUGAAAUCCUUGAUAUUAAAAUUGUUGUGAUCGUAUGAUGCAUAAUAAUAUUUUAAUUUUAAAAUUUUAUAAUUAAUAAAUAAUGAUAAUUGAUUUAUAAUGUUAGAAUGAUUAUUUGAUUUAUAAUGAUCUUUUAAACUUAAGUAACUUUUAAGAUUGAUUUAAUUAUUAAAACUUUUAUUAUUUUAGAUUAAUAUAAUAGUUUUAAUUUAUUUAGUUAUAUAUAUUUAUAUUUUAAGAAUUAGCUAUAAAUUUGAAUGACUUAAUUAGUUUUAAAUUUAAGAUUAUGAAUUUAAAAUUUUUAAUUUAUGAAUUUAAAAUAUUUUUUUAAUAAUUUAAAAUAUUAAAAAAUUUGAUAAGAUGAGCCAGUCUGACUUGAGGUAGGUUGAUCUGUCAAAUUGAGUCAAUCCAACUCUUAUAUCAUAUUUAUCAUAAUUUAUAUUAUUUUUAGAUUUAUAAAAUAUAUAAAUAUAUAUUUAGCUCAUACUUAACUCAUGACAAUCAUAUUAUUCUAAACAUACUUUCUAAAAUAUAUUAUACAUAUAAUAAGAUAUAUGACUAUUAUUAUAUAGUAAAUUAAAUUUAUACUUAUCAGAUUAAAUUUAAAAAUAAAGAUAUUAAUAAAAAAAUAUGUUCCUUAAUGAUUGAGUGUGCUGAAGAGCAAUAGACCUACCAAACUACGAGCAAAAGGUUAUGAGAUGCUUUAAUUAAGAAUCUUGCAUCUUCAAUUAUUGAUUUAUAGUAUUUUAUAAUAAUAAUUCAUUACAAAAAUAUUUUUUAUAAAUUAAGUUAUACUCAACCUAUCAAUAUCUCAAGUUAUUCCUGAUAGGGGAGUCACCGUGGAGUCAACGGGGAUACGGACCAUGACGCCAGCCAUCCCAUGGUGGGACAAUCAAAGUGACUCCCCUCAGGAAGUGAUGGCGACGCGACAUAACAUGACACCCUCUGCGCGUGGGCCGCACCCUGCCCAAGUGAACGGGCAUUAACGCUGACUCGACGUUCCCAACGUCACCCCCUCAACCAACGACUCCCUCGCCCAUACCCUGCGACACGAUGGUCCGCCACGCAACCCUAAUGGCAAUGUCAAAUCCAGCCAGAGGCACGACCCUAUUCUGACAAGUAGGAACAUCAGGUAAUGUCAGACCCAAACUAUAAAAGAGUCCAGGGCCUAAAGGCCAAAGGGGAGAACUCUACACAGAAAAAAGCCCUUCUCGCCCACUAAUUGGAUCGUCGGAGGGGUUGGGCCAUCAGGACGGCCCGACCUUUGUGCAGGUACACGGCGGCCGACCACCGGGGAUUUGCAGCCGGCCAUCUCUGAAGGCCACCCGCCGAUCGGGUUUGCCCCGAGCGCUCACCCAAAAGGCGUCAAGAGGCUCUACCCAUGAUCUUCGGCAUCCGGACCCCUGAACCGAGCCUUAUCGUCCCGAGAUCACGGCUCAAGCAGGUGCAGACCGCAUCAAUUCCUUGUCCGUAGUAGCUAAAAUUCAACUAUAUUUAGUAUCCAAAGAUUAGAGAUCCAUGAUAAAGUAUGAUGUCAGUAAUUAUGUAUUAAUUGCGUGAUAAAAAAGGUGAAACAUCGUUUGUCCAUUCUCAUAUUUGCUUCCAUGUCCAAUGCUUUAAUUACAUUAUAUUAUAUGCGACAUCGACACGGUCUCAUGUUCACAGAAACACACAACACUAACAAUAUGAUCCAUCGACCAUUUUGUACCCACUUGUUUCAGUUUUCUUUGUGUGUUUCCAGAAAAAAAAAGGCUUUAUGUAGAACGAAGUUUGAUAAUUUUUUAGAAUUAUAGUAGAUUAUAAUGAAAAAAUUGACAGAUAACCUAUCCUUAAUGUCACUCUACAGGAUAUGAGUUUUAUACCACAUAAUACUCCUCGUUUAAUUCUUUCCAAGUAAUUAGAUCUUUUUCUUCAUUCAAGAAUUUUAUAUGAUGCAUAAAAGCAUUCAUGAAUUUUAUAUAUAUAUAUAUAUAUAUAUAUAUAUAUAUAUAUAUAUACUUUAUUUUAUUAUAUUGAGUUUGGCUGUACAAUAUUAUUUUAGUUGAUCUUAUUAACCACUUUACAGUGUGGUCCGAUGCACUACGAAUUCUAAAUAGGAGAAGAAUUGAUUUACUACAGUCAUAUAUACCUAAAAAAUAAAACAUGUCACCGUACUUUGCUGCCAAAUAUCGACGUUUGUAAAACCUUUUCUUUCUCAAUAAUAAGAAGCUUUAAUUUAUUUUAAGAGAAAGAUGAAGAACAAAGUGACACGUAGAAUAGCAUUUAGUUCAGCCUUUUGUUUUGUCCUUAUUCCAAUUACUGUCUUCGUGGAGUGACGCCAGAGGCCGAGCUUCUUUGUGCCUUGUAUUAAGCUUCGGUGACGGCCACGUCGUUUAAUCAUGCGAUGGCACUGCGACCGACGUCGGUGUAGUAGAUGACGUAGACGUCGAAGGCGGCGACGAGGCCCUCGACGGAGGACGUCACCAGCUUGCUCGCCAGCUUCCCCCAUGCGUACUGGAAAACCCCCGUCCCACCCACGAUGGCCCGCUCCGCCUUCCCGGACGCGUCCAGUCUCCCGAUCGCCGUGAGCGUGCUGUCGGCGAACUCUCCCGUNNNNNNNNNNNNNNNNNNNNNNNNNNNNNNNNNNNNNNNNNNNNNNNNNNNNNNNNNNNNNNNNNNNNNNNNNNNNNNNUUAGACGAUAUUUUAGACUCUCUUAAAAAGGUAAGUAUGUAAGCAUCAUCAUAAUAAUAUUUUAGAGAUUAACAUUAGAAAGGAUUUCAAAUCCUCAAUUCAAAGUUGAGUCUUUUAGAUGUAAGAAUAUCUCAAACUAAAUUCUUGAAUCAUCAAUCAAUAAGUGAAUUUUUAUCAUGUUUAUAGAUUAAAAUGAAUCAUAUACAAUUAAUGAGACUUAGCAUGAUAAAUUUAAGUAAUUCUUAUUGAAAAUAUUUAUGUACGUGAGAUAAAAAAAGAUGAGAGAAAAGUAAUAUAUGACUAAAGAUUGAAGGAGUCAGAGUACAGAAAGUCGGUUUGACAAGUAACACCACGUUUAGCCUUCCUCUUGAACGCCGGUCUCGUUCCAAAAUCGCCGGCCGGACCACUUCGCUCUCCGCCGACAACACGCAACGUCUAGUUUCGCUGGGAUAUGGGUGAUGCGGGUCAAAGUAGAUGAAGCCAUCGACAUGAACGAUGUCGUCUGUAUUCGUCUCUAUCCUCGUCUUCUCAUCUCAGGACAAUAUCUUCCACCUCACGGUAUCAUACGUUGCAUGGUAGGUGAACAAGGAGGAAAGCCAUCAUCCAUGGGGCUGCUUUUGGUUGGUUAAUGGUGAGGGUUCCAUCACAUUUGUUCCGUGUGAUACACGUUUUCUUUCCACCUUUGGUGAAAGAAGAACAUUUGGUGACUAUAAGGGCAUAUUUGCAUAUCAAAUUUGCGAUAAAAAGGGAUGUGGAUGAGACCAUCAAUGUGAUUGAUGCCUCAAUUUUGGAGAAGGAACGCACGUCGUUUACGAUUGCUGCUCUUCGUUACUCGUCGAUCUCCUCAUCCAUCAGUAUGAACUGGAUGAGAGAAUAAUAUUCAAAUUACUCAUUUAAUAUUUUUCUUACUUAAUAGGAGUUUCUAUAGCUCAUGAUUCAUAACUUUAUUUUUGUCCCUUGUAUAAGAGCUGAUUUAAGUUUCUGUAUAGUUUUAUCAAUAGUGUUUUUUAUGCUAGUUUUACUUAUGACGCUGAAUGGCUUAUCUUAAUAACAAACUGAGCAUUCAUUUCAUUAAACAUUUAAUUAGANNNNNNNNNNNNNNNNNNNNNNNNNNNNNNNNNNNNNNNNNNNNNNNNNNNNNNNNNNNNNNNNNNNNNNNNNNNNNNNNNNNNNNNNNNNNNNNNNNNNNNNNNNNNNNNNNNNNNNNNNNNNNNNNNNNNNNNNNNNNNNNNNNNNNNNNNNNNNNNNNNNNNNNNNNNNNNNNNNNNNNNNNNNNNNNNNNNNNNNNNNNNNNNNNNNNNNNNNNNNNNNNNNNNNNNNNNNNNNNNNNNNNNNNNNNNNNNNNNNNNNNNNNNNNNNNNNNNNNNNNNNNNNNNNNNNNNNNNNNNNNNNNNNNNNNNNNNNNNNNNNNNNNNNNNNNNNNNNNNNNNNNNNNNNNNNNNNNNNUAAUUGGAUAAGAUAUAUAAUAUAACUAAUUGUUGUAAGUAUUAGAUUUUGUGAUCCUUUUAUAAUUGGAUAUAUAUAUUAGAUAUAACAAGAGGUACGUCUGUAAACACGUACAGACGUACCUCUUGUUGGGAAAUCUUGGGGGCGACAUCACAUGCACAGCGGAAGAACAAGAAAACAAAAUCCUCUAUUCCCAAAGAGAUGUUCGUCGUCGUGCAAAGAUUGGUGCGCAAAAUCCGUGAAACUUAAAACUACGUAUAGAGUAGAUUGUGUUACCUAGGGAGAUCGUAUAUCCUUGUUUCGUUACAGCUUUUUAGGAGAGGAUGAAAGAGGUCAAGCGUCCUCCUCUCUAGCGGUGAUCUACAUAGUAGGGUUGCGACGAUGCUCCUCAAAACUCCAGGCCUGCUAUGAGGUGGAGAGGGAGAGGAGAAUAGGAGAGGCAAGCAAAUGCUCUAGCUCUGAAUCCCUCCUAUUUAUAGAAGCCCCUUGUCAAAAACCUAAUGGAUCCUCCCCUAGUGGAUAUUGGAUCUACAUCUAAUUACCCAAGCCUUUUAGAUUAGUGGAUCUUUAUCCAAUAAUAUCACAUUGGCUCUUAUUGGAUCUCGUCCAUGGGAUCCAAUAAUUCAUGGGCUUAUUGGAUAUCCAAUAAGACAAGGGCUCUAGCGGAUAUCUCAUAUCCGAACCUUUACUUAUCGUAAUGCCUACCAUAUGUGUGUGACCCUCUAGACCCAAUAUCGAGUUGGCUGUGAGUUAUACUUGUCAGAACUCCUUCUAACUUAGUGAAUUAUUAUCUAUGCAAUAAUUCACUCGACUCAUCGACUACGGACGUAUUAGACCACUACGUCGUAGUCCCCAGACGAUACAGGGGAAUCCAAUCCAUUGGACCUGUCUGUCCUUAGUUACCGUGUACUUAUAGUCCCUCAUCCACCUAAUAUCCCAGAGACCGUAUAUCGAGCAUGGUGUUGUUAGACUCAUACGGUUUUUACUCGAGUCUCGCUCUACUCGGAUUCUCCCGGAGAACUGUUUCUCUCUUAACCCGAAUGGCCCUAGCCAGGGAUUUGUCUGAGCAAGAACACAUGGGAUAUUCCUCUCAUGAUGUCGAGAGUGGAUGAUUCUCUAUCGACACUCAAUAGCCCUCGUAAUGUCGACUGUCACUCCCAAUGACAAGUUGUAUUAGAUCUGGGACAGCCAAACCUAUAAGUCUGGUAUCAAAGAGUGGAGCACUCAUACAGGACAUCCUUGGUGUCUCAAGUCUAAGGACCAGAUACACCACUAGGACUACGGAAUUGCUGUCUAACAAUAAGGCAUCAUUAACCAUCCAACAUUCCGUAAGAGGAUCAAUCAAUUAACUCAUUCUCCAAUGAGCACCUAUACUAUAUCCCUAGUGUCCCUAUAUGAGCAACUAUGAAACCAACUGCAUCCAUCAUAUGGACGAGUAUACAGCACACCAAUUUGUCCGGUUAUUAUGAUGUCUCUUUCGAGUAACCUAUGAUCGGGAUUAUUUAUGAUAUGUGUUUAAAGGUAAAUCGAUCUUAUUAUCGUGAUCUCAUCACGAUCUGAUUCCCAUUGCACAGAUCCAAGGACAUCACAAUAUAUACAUGCAUAUAUGCAAUAGUUAAUAUAAAGUGAUAAAUAUCAAAAUAUAAUAAGUAAAAAAAAGAUUCUGUGUCAAGUCACACGUGUAUCACUCACGUGAUUGGCUUGUUGGGCACCUAUAACUAGCACCUCUCCGUCUCCAUUGAGGGAUUAUAGUUUUCUCAAAAAAAUCAUCAAUCUAAUUGGUCCCGUGAAAGGAUAGAAAGAGAGGAGAAAGGAUAUACUCAUUGUAGAUUCUGCAACGAUCUUGGAUUAAAGACGGUGCAUUGAAGAUCAAACAAAAAUAUUUGAACAAGCAUCAAAAGGUACGUAUCGUUAAACGAGAUCUAUGUAUUUGAUUUCAAUCCUGGUAUAAAGGUUAUUUUCGUAUUUUAAACAACACAUUACAGUUUUUUUGCUUACAAUUUGGUAUCAAAGCCUGGUUUUUUAAAUCAAACACAUUAUAUCUAUUAUUUUGAUGCAUGAUUGGCUUAGGUUUUGCAAAAUUAUAGUUUUACCCUUUGUAAAUUUCAUAAUUCUGAUUUAUGUUCUGUCAACAUAUUUAUGGUUUUUGUCAUCGGGUCUAAUUUCUAUCAAAUUAUAGUUCUACCCUUUAUAAAUCACAUGAUUUCAAUUUAUAUCCUUUCAAAUAUUUAUAGUUUUAUCGAAAUUGAGAAAUUUAGUUUAUAUUCUCAAUUAUAAAAUUGAUAAAUAUGAUUUAUUAUAAUUAUGAUUAAAUUUAAUCAUAAUUAUAUUUUUGAUUAUUUUAUUAUAUUUAAUUUUGAUAAAAAAUAUAAAUUAUGGUUUACUUUAUAGUUUUCUCAUAUGAAAUAUUAAUUAUAUAUGUAGUAAAUAAAAUCAAAAUAUAAUUAUUAUUUUUAAAAUUUUAUUUACUUAUUCACAUGUAUAUAUUUGAAAUUAUGAAAUAAUGUUUAUCUUUCACAUGAAGGCAUGAUUUAUAUGUUAUCAUGAUUAUCAUAUGAGUUUUCUUUUACUGAUUAAAGUUCAAUAAUUAUUAUGGUUAUUCUAUUAUUGAACUGCUUAGUGGGACUUGAAUGAGCUAACUAGCAUGUGUGGGACUUGAAUGAGCUAACUAGCAUGUGUGGGACUUGAAUGAGCUAUUAUUCACUAUAAUACAAAUAAGGAUAAGUGGGACUUGAAUGAGCUAACUAGCAUGUGUGUUCAGGAAGAAUUGAGAUUAAGACAGGAAAGUUCAUAUAAUGUCAUUACUACUACUCAAGGAGGUGGUAAUAAGAAAAGAAAGUUAAAGCAUCAUCCAUCAAAGAGAUUUGUCGAGUCUGAAAAUGUUAAACAGACUAAUGGAAAGAAAGUCUUUACUGUAAAGUAUUUUUUUUGUGACAAGAAAAGAACAUGUGAAGAAGGACUGCAUUAAAUGCAAGACUUGGUUCGAAAAUAAAGGUAUUAAUUCGACCUUUAUAUGUUUUGAAUCAAACAUUACAAAAGUUCCUUCAAACACUUGGUAGAUUGAUUCUGAUGCUUCAACUCAUGUUACCAAUAAGGAUUUCUUUCAAUUCCAAAACCAAAAGAACAUUAAAGAUUUAUUAAUAUGGGAAAUCGUCUUAAAGCGAAAGUGAUAUAAAUGAGAACUUAUCAUCUACGCAUAGAGACGGGUCACCUGAUGGAUCUUAUUGACACAUGUUAUGUCCCUACAAUUUCUAAAAAUUUAGUUUCUUUUUCUAGAAUUGAUGAGUUAGGAUAUUGUCUUUCUUUUGAUAGUGGCAAACUCAGUAUGUUUUAUGAUUCAAUAAAAGUUAGUUCCGGAAUUCUGUAUGAUGGUUUGUAUAGAAUUAAUUUGGAUAUUGAGUUUACAAAGACAUUAAUAACCCUACAAUCAAGUGUUAGAUUGAAACGUAGUUUCAAUAAUGAAAGAUCUUCUAUAUUGUGGCAUAUACGAUUGGUGCAUAUCUCCAAGGAAAAAAUUGAAAGAUUAGUGAGGAUAAUAUUUUGGAACAUUUAGACUUCACUAAUUUUGAUAUUUGUAUAGAUUGUAUUAAGGGAAAGCAAACUAAACAUAUAAAGAAAAAUGCCACAAGAAGUAAAGAAUUCGUUCAGAUUAUUCAUGCUGAUAUCUGCGGACCACUCCAUAUUCCUUGUUUUAGUGGAGAAAGGUAUUUUAUCACAUUUAUAGAUGAUCUGUCCAGAUAUGACUAUGUUUAUCUAAUACAUAAAAAGUCUCAAGCCAUUGAUACAUAAAUGAGGUCGUGAGACAAUUAGAUAUAAAAGUUAAAAUUGUCAGAUCUGACAAGUUUAAUGAAUUUUAUGGUAGAUAUGAUGGAUCUGGUUAGAAUAUUGGUUCUUUUGCUAGAUUCCUAGAACAAUGGGAUAUUUAUGCUCAAUAUGUAUUACCAGGUGUGCCAUAGCAGAAUGAUGUUGCUGAAAGGGGAAAUCAUACUCUUAUGGAUAUGGUUAGGAGCAUGAUAAGUUAUUCCUCUGUACUUAAGUCGAUGUGGUGUGAAGCUCUUAUAACAGCUAUGUACACAUUGAACAGGAUUCUUAGUAAGUCUGUUUCAUCGACUCCAUUUGAGUUAUGGACUGGUAGGAAGUCCAGUCUAAGACAUUUACAUAUUUGGGGGUGUCCUACAAAGAUAAAAGUAUUUAAUCCAUAUGAAACGAAAUUUGAUCUAAGAACUAUUUCAGGAUAUUUUAUUGGUUAUCUAGAAAAAUCCAAGGGAUACAGAUUUUAUUGCCCUAAUCAUAGUAUGAGGAUAGUAGAAUCUAGUAAUGCAAAAUUAUUAGAAAAUGGUGAAAUCAAUGGGAGUAAAAAAUCUUGAAUGAUUAAUUUUGAUAUUGAGGAGAUUUAGGUUAAUUCUCCUAUAUCAUCUCUUAUUUAAGAGAUUGUUGUUCCUCAAAUCAAUGAGAGUAUUAAUGAGGGUGAAUAAUAAAAUAACAUCGAAGAACUCUCACAUAAUGUUGAUGUCACCGCUGAUGAUCUUGUAGAACAAUCACAAUUGGCAGAUUUAAGAAGAUCUCAAAGGAAAAAGAAACAUGUCAUUUCUGAUGAUUAUGUGGUAUAUUUACAAGAAUCAAAUUAUUAUAUAGGAAUAAAAAGAGACCCCUUAUCGUUUCCACAAGCUAUAGAAAGUAAUGAUUAUGAAAAAUGGUAUGAUGCAAUGAAAGAAGAGUUAAAAUCAAUGGUUCAGAAUGGUGUCUAAGAUCUCGGUGAAAUGCCCAAUAAUUGUAAAAGAGUCGAUUGUAAAUGCGUCUUUAAGAUAAAAUGUGACUCAACGUGCAAUAUCAAACGAUUUAAAGCCAGACUUGUGGCCAAAGAUUUUUCUCAAAAGGAAGAUAUCGACUAUAAUGAGACUUUUUCUUCAGUUUCUAAAACAGACUCAUUGAGAAUUAUCAUGACAUUAGUAACUCAUUAUGAUCUUGAGUUUCAUCUGAUGGAUGUGAAAAUAACAUUUCUGAAUGGGGAUCUGGAUAAGGAAAUCUAUAUGGAACAACCUGAAGGAUUCGUAGAAAAGGGAAAAGAAGGUUAGGCUUGUAAACUUAAGAAAUCUAUUUAUGACAUUAAACAAACUUCUAGACAAUGGUAUAUAAAGUUUCAUAAUACCAUUACUUCCUUCGGAUUUAAGGAAAAUACUGUUGAUCAGGGUAUAUAUCUGAAGGUAAGUGAGAGCAAGGCAGCCUAUGUUAUUAGUAUUGAGAUAUUCAGAGAUAGAUCUCAAGGAUUAUUAGAAUUAUCUCAGAAAGGUUAUAUUGAUCGUAUGUUGGAGAGAUUUAAUAUGCAACUUUGCUCAGCCAAUGAUAUACCUAUUACUAGAGGUGAAAAUUUCAAUUAAAACCAGUGUCCAAGAAAUGACUUAGAAAAGAAUCAAAUGAAAAAUAUUCCUUAUGAGUGCGUAGUUGGAAGUCUAUUAUAUGCUCAAACUUGUACAAGACCAGAUAUCAAUUUUGCAAUUGCAAUACUGGGAAGAUACCAAAGCAACCCAGGAAUGAAACAUUGUAAAGCUGCAAAGAAAGUAAUGAGAUAUGUACAAGGAACGAAAGAUUAUAUGCUCACAUAUAGGAGAUCAGAUCAGCUUGAAGUAAUAGGAUAUUCAGAUGCUGAUUUUGUAAAUUGCCUCGACAGUAGGAAGUCCACUUCAGGAUUUAUAUUUAUGUUAGCUGGUGGGGCAAAUUCUUGGAAAAGUGUAAAGCAAUCACUUAUUGCAUCAUCCACAAUGGAAGCUGAAUUUGUGACAUGCUUUGAGGCCACAAAUCAAGUUUUAUAGCUGCGAAAUUUCAUCUCAGGAUUUGAUAUGGUCGACUCAAUUGCCAAACCACUGAAUAUAUUUUGUGAUAAUACCACAACAGUUUUCUUCUCUAAGAAUGACGAGUAUUUUAGUGGUUCCAAGCAUAAUGAGAUAAAGUACUUUGUAGUUAGAGAAAGAGUCCAGAAACAGCAAGUGCCAAUUGAGAACCUGAACACCACUAUGAUGAUUGCUGAUCCAUUAACAAAGGCCUUACAAUAUAGAAUAUUUAAAGAACAUGCUCUUAGAAUGAGGCUUGUGCGCAAGUCAUAAAGGAUAUGAUGACACAUAUUUAUAUGGAUGUUAUUAUUAAUAUUCUUCUUGCUUAAUUAAACUUAUUUGUUUCUGCCAUCCUUUUUACAUUUAUGUUUAUGCAUAUUAUAGUUGAAUGUAAUAACAAGAUAAAUUAUCAUUAUAGACUAUAUUAGGAAAGACUAACAAUGUUGUGGUACAUAGAAGGAAGUAUGACAUUGAUGAAAUACAACCGCUAUGAUUCGUAUUGAUAGUUGGACUUAAUAUAGUAUUAUUAUGUUUAUUGGACUUAUUGGCUUAUUAAAAAAAAAACAUGGCCACGUAUAAAAUAUUUUUCAAAAUUCUUUAGAAUCCAAUUAGGUAAAAUUAUUUUUUAAAUAAAUUUUAUUUUUAUUUAUUUUGAUUUUGAUUAUCUCUUUUAUAUCUUAUCAAUUAAUGGAUCAAGUGGGAGAAUGUUAGAUUUUCUGAACAGAUGACAUCAAACAAAAAUUUCUGAACAAAUGACAUCAAAAGAUAGCAUCGUUAAACGAUAUCAAUAUAUUUGAUUUCAAUCUUGACAUAAAGGUUAUUUCCGUAUUUUAAACAGCAUAUUACUGUUUUUAUUUUUACAAUAAUAGGUUUUCAUUCAUAAUUUUAUUAAACGAGAUCGACAUUUCUUUUUAUUUCAGCCUUAUCAUAUAAUAGUUCAUCUCCUGACAUAUCUGAUCGCCGUGGCUUUAAUUAUCGUCUCGCGGAUCACGCGAUUGCGGUGAGACGGACGUCGUCAUAAUAGACGACAUAGAUGUCGAAGGCGGCGACGAGUCCCGCUUUGUCGGACGUCACCAGUUUGCUCACCAUGUUCCCCGACGCGAACUGGAACACCCCCGUCCCUCCCACGAUGGCCCGGUCCGCCUUCCCGGAGGUGUCCAUCCUCCCUAUCACCGUGAGCGUGCUGUCGCAGAAGUCCCCCGCCGUGAACACCAGCACCAGCGGUAUCAGCGACGACUCGUCCCGCUGCGACGCGUGGAAGCUCACGCCCUGUGCCCUCCCGACUUCAGUCGAACGCUUGGAGGGGCCGGUCCUCAGCACGGCGUCGAAGAUGUCGACGUCCCCGAAGGUGUUGGGGAGGCUCAUGUUCACCACGGUCACGGUGGUGUUGUCGGGGCCGAGAAAGGUCUCGUGGAAGUAGACGCGGAAAUGGAUUCUGCUCUGCCGGCCGAGUUCGAACUCGGAGGUCACCGGGAAGGCCGUGGCAGCAGCCAGGAGGAGGAAGAAGACGAGGAGGAAGUAGAGAUGAGUGAAGCUAUUUGGGGAUGAAGCCAUGGCUAGGAUGACCGAAGGAUCGAAGUGAGGUGGGUACAACGCUGGAUCAGGAACAUGUAUUUAUAGAGUAAAGUCUGUGCCAUGCGUCGUCAACAAAUGCCAACGUCCAACCAAAUCUCAUUAUCAUGUCUACAUAAAAUACUCAAACGAAUAUUACUCUUGCAG
rnacentral:lncRNA from 1 species